rnacentral:rRNA from 1 species
CAGCAGCCACGGUAAUACGGAGGGUGCAAGCGUUAAUCGGAAUUACUGGGCGUAAAGCGUGCGUAGGCGGUUCGUUAAGUCUGUUGUGAAAGCCCCGGGCUCAACCUGGGAAUGGCAAUGGAUACUGGCGAGCUAGAGUGUGUCAGAGGAUGGUGGAAUUCCCGGUGUAGCGGUGAAAUGCGUAGAGAUCGGGAGGAACAUCAGUGGCGAAGGCGGCCAUCUGGGACAACACUGACGCUGAGGCACGAAAGCGUGGGGAGCAAACAGGAUUAGAUACCCCCGUAGUCCCUGUCUCUUAUAU